rnacentral:rRNA from 1 species
GAUGAACGCUGGCGGCGUGCCUAAUACAUGCAAGUCGAGCGAACGGACGAGAAGCUUGCUUCUCUGAUGUUAGCGGCGGACGGGUGAGUAACACGUGGAUAACCUACCUAUAAGACUGGGAUAACUUCGGGAAACCGUAGCUAAUACCGGAUAAUAUUUUGAACCGCAUGGUUCAAAAGUGAAAGACGGUCUUGCUGUCACUUAUAGAUGGAUCCGCGCUGCAUUAGAUAGUUGGUAAGGUAACGGCUUACCAAGGCAACGAUGCAUAGCCGACCUGAGAGGGUGAUCGGCCACACUGGAACUGAGACACGGUCCAGACUCCUACGGGAGGCAGCAGUAGGGAAUCUUCCGCAAUGGGCGAAAGCCUGACGGAGCAACGCCGCGUGAGUGAUGAAGGUCUUCGGAUCGUAAAACUCUGUUAUUGGGGAAGAACAUAUGUGUAAGUAACUGUGCACAUCUUGACGGUACCUAAUCAGAAAGCCACGGCUAACUACGUG